GACGAACGCUGGCGGCGUGCCUAAUACAUGCAAGUCGAACGCAGUGGGGACGGGUGAGUAACACGUGGGUAACCUCCCAUCAGAGGGGAUAACACUUGGAAACAGGUGCUAAACCGAUACUGAUGGAUGGACCCGCGGUGCAUUAGCUAGUUGGUGAGGUAACGGCUCACCAAGGCCACGAUGCAUAGUCGACUGAAGGUGGGGAUGGGCACAACGGUGACGGAGACAGGCCCAAGAUCCAAACGGGGGCCAGCAGUAGGGAUUCUUCGGAAAGAGAUUAAAGUUGGACCGAGAAACGCCGCGGGAGUGAAGAGGGUGUUCGGAUCUAAAACCUCUGUUUGUAGAAAAACGGUAUCUAACCAGAAAGACACUGCAAAAUAGGUGCCAGCAGCGGCGGUAAUAC
rnacentral:rRNA from 1 species